CCUACGGGUGGCAGCAGUGAGGAAUAUUGGUCAAUGGACGAAAGUCUGAACCAGCCAAGUAGCGUGAAGGAUGACUGCCCUAUGGAUUGUAAACUUCUUUUAUAUGGGAAUAAAACGUUCCACGUGUGGGAUUUUGUAUGUACCUUAUGAAUAAGGAUCGGCUAACUCCGUGCCAGCAGCCGCGGUAAUACGGAGGAUCCGAGCGUUAUCCGGAUUUAUUGGGUUUAAAGGGAGCGUAGGGGGAUUGUUAAGUCAGUUGUGAAAGUUUGCGGCUCAACCGUAAAAUUGCAGUUGAAACUGGCAGUCUUGAGUACAGUUGAGGCGGGCGGAAUGCGUGGUGUAGCGGUGAAAUGCUUAGAUAUCACGAAGAACUCCGAUUGCGAAGGCAGUUCACUGGACUGUAACUGACACUGAGGCUCGAAAGUGUGGGUAUCAAACAGGAUUAGAUACCCGAGUAGUC
rnacentral:rRNA from 1 species